CGCACAUUGCACCCUCUGGUAUUCCGGGGGGUAUGCCUGUUCGAGCGUCAUUACAACCCUCAAGCACAGCUUGGUAUUGGGUAGCACCUGAGGUGGUGUACCUUAAAAUCAGUGGCGGUGCCAAUCGGCUUCAAGCGUAGUAGUACUUCUCGCUCUGGAGCUCUUUGUGCUCUCGCCAUAGCACCUUAACUAUUUAUGGUUGACCUCGGAUCAGGUAGGGAUACCCGCUGAACUUAA
rnacentral:misc_RNA from 1 species